rnacentral:rRNA from 1 species
CAGCCGCCGCGGGAAAACGAAGGGUGCAGGCGUUACUCGGAAUUACUGGGCGUAAAGCGUGCGUAGGUGGUGGUUUAAGUCCGUUGUGAAAGCCCUGGGCUCAACCUGGGAAUUGCAGUGGAUACUGGAUCACUAGAGUGUGGUAGAGGAUAGUGGAAUUUCCGGUGUAGCAGUGAAAUGCGUAGAGAUCGGAAGGAACAUCUGUGGCGAAGGCGACUAUCUGGGCCAACACUGACACUGAGGCACGAAAGCGUGGGGAGCAAACAGGAUUAGAUACCCGAGUAGUCCCUGUCUCUUAUAC